ensembl:lncRNA SNHG1 small nucleolar RNA host gene 1
CUCCUGUCUGCAGGAUUUACGCGCACGUUGGAACCGAAGAGAGCUCUGUUGUUGCAAUGUUCAGCCCACAAGAGCUUACUGGUGAAGGAAUGGGACAAGACCCAUCUUUAUGCAAAGCCAGCGUUACAGUAAUGUUCCAGCAUCUCAUAAUCUAUCCUGGGGAAUUCAGCUGCCUCCCAGGGUGAAUACAGGUAUUCCUGAUGACAGUCUGCCUCUAUCUUACAGAGCAGCUUGUUGCUAUAUACCAUUGAAAAGCCUUCAGAGCUGAGAGGUUAGUUGAUAUUUUUUGUUCCUUACAGCUUAUGCCACCAAGUAGGCAGUUUCUAUGAUGAAUCAAACUAGCUCACUAUGACCGACAGUGAAAAUACAUGAACACCUGAGAAACUGGAGAACGCAGGGAGUGGGGGGUAACCAUGUCUGAGGAAUCUUUCACCCACAGCUUUGUUUUUCUCUAGGUACUACUAACCAAUAACCUGCUUGGCUCAAAGGGCCAGCACCUUCUCUCUAAAGCCCAAGAGGAGUUUGAGGUAAAUGGCUUUGCAAUAGUUACCAUCAAUGGCUGCUAUAUAAAAUUUUCUGUGAUUUUUGUGUGUGAUAGCACUGUGGUCUGGGUGAAUGUACACAGACAUAACUGGCUUAACCCAAAGUCUUUGAUCUCCUGAACCACCAGUGAUGAAUUGCUGCUCACCAGUGAUGAGUUGAAUACCGCCCCAGUCUGAUCAAUGUGUGACUGAAAGGUAUUUUCUGAGCUGUGAGCCUGCCUUCCAGUGACAUGUUCUAAAAAUUGCAAGUUAUUUGAGGAGGCUUUACAGCCAAUAGGAAGUUCUUGGGCUAAGUAGUGUUUCCUAUAAAAUGUGCCCUGAAACUUCUUUCUGCCAAGCAAUAGAUACAAUUGAGAGAUUGUAAAAUGUGACAUAGAAUGAAAGUCUCUCAAGACUACAUUUUUCUUUCUUGAUUUUGCAGGAAAACUAGGUGUCUGUGUUCACUCCAGGCUGAAGUUACAGGUCUGAGCAAAUAAGGUGUAUAAAAAAUGGAAUCUGUCUUGGAGGACAUCAGAAGGUGAAUUUUCCAAGUUCUUGGACAACCUAGCUGUUGAAAAGCUUUCUGGGUUUGGGGGGUAUUUCAGAUGUACCUUAAAGUGUUAGCAGACACAGAUUAAGACACUGGGAGCCAAUGAAACAGCAGUUGAGGGUUUGCUGUGUAUCACAUUUCUGUAUUUUAUCACCCCCUUCCUGCAACAUUAUUUAUCUGGAAUCUACCUGCCCUUUUGUUUUUUAGAUACAAGGGCUUGGUUUUGUUACCCAGGCUGGUUUCAAGGCCAUAGCUUUAAGAGAUCCUCUCACCACAGAUUUCCAAAGUGCUGGGAUUGCAGGUGUGAUUCAUGGCACCCAGACUUUGCUGCCUUUCUUACAUGAUCCAGGCCCAGAACCCAAACUCAGGCACUGUAUAGAUGACCACUUUCGUAAACUACUGACCUAGCUUGUUGCCAAUUGUUGAUUGAACUUCCCAUAACUCCACUUCGUGUCUGUUCCUCUGUAUACAGCCACCUUCUGUUCCCGUCAUGAGCCUUUAGGUCUCCAUUUGCAUAUUGCAAAUACUAUGUUCCAUGUAGGUAGCUCAUUCAGGGCCUUGCUCUUCACUUCAAAAAAGGUUCCCUUGAGGACUGGCUGUCAAUUUGUGUUGCUGUGUUGGUUGUUGAUGAAAAUAAUAAAAUGAUUGAUUACAUA